GGCAGAGGAGAGGGGAAACCCUAGUUCAAGAAAUCAAGCAAUCCAAUCCAAAUUCAUAAGCUAAUUUAGUGCAUGAUCCCUAAAUUGUGAUUAGCUAACCCUAAUCUCUUAAGUGGCGUAAAGGAAGAAGGUACAAGCACCAAGAAAACGGAAGGAGCGCAAGAUCGAGGUAAAACUCCGCUAUAGGCGAUUUGGAGAUAUGGAGCGAGCACGUGUUCAAGCCUUAUUAUACCAAGCGCUUCCGCUAGUUUAUAUGCAUACUUUUGGGUCCAUGUCUUGUUACUUUGUUAAAUCUUGUUAGAAGUCUUACACUUGAAAACUUGUUGUUUUUGUUUGGGGUAGUUUAAUGCUAAUAGGGUCGUAGGUGAAUGUUGUCUAUUAUGUCAAAAACAGGGGGCA